UUAUUCAAAGGCAUUUAUGCAAAUCCCAACUGUCCAAGUUGACUAGUGGUAUAGUUAGCUGGAGUUGUAAACAAAAUUUAGAGAGACCAUGCAUGCAGAUAAAGCAAAUUAUACAUGUCCUAUAUCUGAUUGCAGGGAAUGUGAUUUCUGAACUGAGCAUUAAAGUGCUCUGAUAUCAGUUAAAAUAGGAAAUUUGAAUAUGUGUGAUGCCCAGUACUUUAAGAUGCCUCCUUACGGUCCUGGAAGAUAUUUGUGAUGGGUCACUCAAGAAAACUUCAACCAAUCUUCGGAAAGCAGAGAUAUUGGAGCCAUCAGAGGAGUCAUUGAUCCUUUGAAUCUGGGUAUUGUGGAAUCCAUUUUAGGAUAUCGUUCCCACGGUAGCAUCUUCAAAGUCCUUGCAGUCUUCUAAAGUUGAAACUGAGAAGAAAGACACCAAGCAGAAAGUUACAAA